AACGAACGCUGGCGGCAUGCCUAACACAUGCCAGUCGAACGAGACCUUCGGGUCUAGUGGCGCACGGGUGCGUAACGCGUGAGAACCUGCCCUUAGGUUCGGAAUAACUCCCCGAAAGGGGGGCUAAUACCGGAUAAUGUCUUCGGACCAAAGAUUUAUCGCCUUUGGAUGGGCCCGCGUUGGAUUAGCUAGUUGGUAGGGUAAAAGCCUACCAAGGCGACGAUCCAUAGCUGGUCUGAGAGGAUGAUCAGCCACACUGGGACUGAGACACGGCCCAGACUCCUACGGGAGGCAGCAGUGGGGAAUAUUGGACAAUGGGCGAAAGCCUGAUCCAGCAAUGCCGCGUGAGUGAUGAAGGCCUUAGGGUUGUAAAGCUCUUUUACCCGGGAUGAUAAUGACAGUACCGGGAGAAUAAGCUCCGGCUAACUCCGUG
rnacentral:rRNA from 1 species